CUACGGGACGCACCAGUGAGGAAUAUUGCACAAUGGGGGGAACCCUGAUGCAGCAACGCCGCGUGGAGGAUGACGCAUUUCGGUGUGUAAACUCCUUUUAUAUGUCAAGAAAAUGACGGCAGCAUAUGAAUAAGCACCGGCUAACUCCGUGCCAGCAGCCGCGGUAAUACGGAGGGUGCAAGCGUUACUCGGAAUCACUGGGCGUAAAGGACGCGUAGGCGGGCUUGUAAGUCAGGUGUGAAAUCCUACAGCUUAACUGUAGAACUGCACUUGAAACUACGAGCCUAGAGUAUGGGAGGGGGAGAUGGAAUUAGUGGUGUAGGGGUAAAAUCCGUAGAUAUCACUAGGAAUACCUAAAGCGAAGGCGAUCUCCUGGAACAUAACUGACGCUAAGGCGUGAAAGCGUGGGGAGCAAACAGGAUUAGAUACCCCUGUAGUC
rnacentral:rRNA from 1 species